rnacentral:rRNA from 1 species
GACGAACGCUGGCGGCGUGCUUAACACAUGCAAGUCGAACGAAGUGGCGAACGGGUGAGUAACGCGUCAUCAACCUGCCCUUCAGAGGGGGACAACAGUUGGAAACGACUGCUAAUACCGCAUACUGAAGGAGGGGCUUUCGUCUGAUGAGAUAGUUGGAGGGGUACCGUCCCACCAAGGCGAUGAUCAGUAGACGGUCGGGGAGGAGGAACGGCCACAUUGGGACUGAGACAAGGCCCAGACUCCUACGGGAGGCAGCAGUGGGGAAUCGUCCGAAAUGGAAGAAAGGCUGACGGAGCAAAGCCGCGUGAGUGAUGACGGCCUUCGGGUUGGAAAGCUCUGUUAAUCGGGACGCGGUACCGGAAUAGAAAGCCACGGCUAACUACGUGCCAGCAGCCGCGGUAAUAC